rnacentral:rRNA from 1 species
UCCGUAGGUGAACCUGCGGAAGGAUCAUUAUCGAGUUCUCGGGCUUCGGCCCGAAUCUCCCACCCUUUGCAUACCUACCUCUGUUGCUUUGGCGGCGCCGCGGCGGCUCACGCCCCGCGCCCGCCAGAGGACCAUCAAACUCCAGUCAGUGAACGUCGCAGUCUGAAAACAAGUUUAAUAAACUAAAACUUUCAACAACGGAUCUCUUGGUUCUGGCAUCGAUGAAGAACGCAGCGAAAUGCGAUAAGUAAUGUGAAUUGCAGAAUUCAGUGAAUCAUCGAAUCUUUGAACGCACAUUGCGCCCCUUGGUAUUCCGAGGGGCAUGCCUGUUCGAGCGUCAUUACAACCCUCAAGCUCUGCUUGGUAUUGGGCACCGUCCGCCACGCGGACGCGCCUCAAAGACCUCGGCGGUGGCGUCAAGCCCUCAAGCGUAGUAGAAAUAUCUCGCUUUGGAGCGCUAGGCGUCGCCCGCCGGACGAACCUUCUGAAUUUUCUCAAGGUUGACCUCGGAUCAGGUAGGGAUACCCGCUGAACUUAAGCAUAUCAAUAAGCGGAGGA